rnacentral:pre_miRNA from 1 species
UCUCAUGGAUGAGCAAAGAAGGUGGUUCCUUGAGAUGGAAGCUAUUCCUGGUGAAGAUGCUGUGAA